rnacentral:lncRNA from 1 species
GGGGGUUGAGACACAGCUCAGUGUGCAUGAAGGUCAUGGGUUCCAGCCUCUAUCUCAAAAGAAUGUCCACAUACAAAGGGAAGAAGCUUGCAGAGCUGUGAGUUCUUAUCCCAGCCAAUGCAGUUCCGAGGCUGUGACUGCACAGAAAUAUGUGCAGAUGGCUACGCCUGAUGUCUUAUUCUGCACAUGUGAGAACUUCGAAACUCCAGUGUGGCGGGAAUCCUUGGUCCUUCAAAGUAGCAGGCCCUCUUCCUAGCAUGCCCUCUUCCCAUCAGCUGCUGGUUCCUGUUUUCCUGCAGAUGAUGAAGAGACGUCCACUCUGCAAUGUCAAGAAACACCCACUCCAUCUGCGGCCAGAAAACGGGACGUGGAGGAGAAUACUGAUGCAUCCUGGCCUGCUCUUCCCCUGCUUGGGGCUGCCUCCAUAUUUGCUAAAUUCAGAGUGAG